CUGAGAAACAUUUCAGACUGCUUCCUGUGAGGGUUCCCUGCAUUAAACAGAUGUUUGAGGAAUCAACUGAGGAGAAGACAAAGAAUCUAGAUCCAUCCAAGACAACAGACAAUAGCUCUGUGUGCCAUGUCUGGGAGAAGAAGCAGGCCGGGAGAUGUGUGGCUGAGUGAUAUAAACCUUCUAUUUUUGGUUCACAGCUGGAGAGUAAUUUUGUCACAGGAUGAAAUGUGCUUCAAGUCUCACCCAUAUCUGAUUGAGAUGAUACACGCACGAGGCUUUGGACUUUGGACUUUAGAGUUGACUCUGGAAUAAGGUAAGAUUUUGGGGGCUGUUGGGAUGGAAUUAAUGGACUUUGCAUGUGAGGAAGGCAUGAAUUUAGGGGGCCAAGGACUGAAUGUUUGUGUCCUCCCCAAAUUCAUAUAUUGAAGCCCUAAGCUCCCAAUGCAAUGAUAUUUGGAGCUGGGGCCUUUGGGAGGUAAUUAGGUGAUGAGGGUGGAGCCCCUCAUGAAUGAGGUGAGUGCUGUUAUAAAAAGAGACAUGAGAGAUGAUCUCUCUUUGCCCUGGGGGAACAUAGCUGGAAGGCAGGCAUCUGUAAACCAGGAAGAAGACCUUCACCAGAAAUGGAACUGGACUUGAUUUUGAACUUCCCAGCCUCCAGAACCGUGAGAAAUAAAUUUCUGUUGUUUAAACCACCCACCCUGUGGUGUUUUGUUACAGCAGCUUAAGCUGACCAAGACAGUAAUAAAGUGCCACGCUGGCCCUGAACUGCUUAACUCUGGA